rnacentral:rRNA from 1 species
CUACGGGAGGCUCCAGUGGGGAAUAUUGCACAAUGGGCGCAAGCCUGAUGCAGCCAUGCCGCGUGUAUGAAGAAGGCCUUCGGGUUGUAAAGUACUUUCAGCGGGGAGGAAGGGAGUAAAGUUAAUACCUUUGCUCAUUGACGUUACCCGCAGAAGAAGCACCGGCUAACUCCGUGCCAGCAGCCGCGGUAAUACGGAGGGUGCAAGCGUUAAUCGGAAUUACUGGGCGUAAAGCGCACGCAGGCGGUUUGUUAAGUCAGAUGUGAAAUCCCCGGGCUCAACCUGGGAACUGCAUCUGAUACUGGCAAGCGUGAGUCUCGUAGAGGGGGGUAGAAUUCCAGGUGUAGCGGUGAAAUGCGUAGAGAUCUGGGGGAAUACCGGUGGCGAAGGCGGCCCCCUGGACGAAGACUGACGCUCAGGUGCGAAAGCGUGGGGAGCAAACAGGAUUAGAUACCCUUGUAGUC